rnacentral:rRNA from 1 species
AGCGUAGACGGUGUGGCAAGUCUGAUGUGAAAGGCAUGGGCUCAACCUGUGGACUGCAUUGGAAACUGCCAUACUUGAGUGCCGGAGGGGUAAGCGGAAUUCCUAGUGUAGCGGUGAAAUGCGUAGAUAUUAGGAGGAACACCAGUGGCGAAGGCGGCUUACUGGACGGUAACUGACGUUGAGGCUCGAAAGCGUGGGGGAGCAAACA